GGCUGGGCGGGUGCACUGUUGAAAAGUAAAAUAUCUAGGAAGAAGCAUUCAGUCUGGUCAUCACCUUCAUCAUCUCUGCUUCUAAAUAUGUGACCUAACCUGACAACGAUCGAGAGAUUAUCACUGUAGAUCACCGUAGGCGGUCCGCUGUCAACAGAAACUACAGAGAAGAAAGAAUAAGUCAGUCAUGGUCGCUUUAACAUGGCCGCCAUUCGUGGCUUUGUUCACAUGUUCAUGGAUCGUUGUUCUGUGUCAAGGUCACACAGCUGGACACAAGGAGGGAGGAGACAAGGAGGGAGGAGACAAGGAGGGAAAUGUUGGACUGAUGGUCGGUCUGCCAGUUGGUGUGAUUCUUCUUCAUGGUGCUGGUGGUUUUGUGAUCUUUAAAAAAUAUAACAGACCCACAGGGAAUCAACAACCUGCUAUAAACAGACAUGAACUGCAGAACCUGCAGUGAGAUUAAGAGACCAGAGGCAGCAGAUGAGAAUUAGUGAGGAUCCAGACUGAACUCACUCUGGUUACUGUGGGGAGCACUGAUUGGUCGUUACUCUCUGGCUGCUGAUUGGUGGACUGAACGUGCUGCUGGACAGAAGAAACACAUUCCUCCUGUAAAAUAAACCUGAGCUGUUGACACACGUCUGAUUUCACCUGGAGGCAGGUUAAUGCCAGAUGGGCUGACUGACCAGCAGCUCUGUGGGACAAACAAUAUGACCUGAUGCUGGAACAGCCAGCUGAUUGUUAAUUACAGGAAGUGGUACAGACCGUCAGCACCUCCCCCCACCCCUUCAAGUGGAUCCAUCCAUCCAUGUAGAGUCAGAGGUCAAAUCAAAUUAAACGGGUAAAAGACCAAAAGAGAGAAAAAGCUCCAAAUAUUUUAAAUCAACAGUUACUGAUGUCAGUGCCGCUCAACAUCCUGCUAGCUGCAGUUAUAACACUAACAGUCUGUUCUGGAUGACGGAGCUGGACUUUGUUCCCAGUCCGACCCUGAAGAGCUCAGUCCCUGUUGUCCACUCACCGACCUGCAUCAGAGGGGAAAAGAUCCUGUUUGGAUUCACUGCAGCUCUGUUUUCCUGCAUGAGGACAUUUUUCAUCGUCUUCUCUGAGAGCUGCUCAGGAACUCUGACUGUGAAAUGUUCUUAGACAACGAUACAGAUAAUCUGGACUGAAGUGGACUCAUGUUGCUGUGUGGAUUGUGGUGAAAGGCCCGAGAUAAAGUCAUCUGUUUCCUGCCUGUGAAGGUGAGCUGUGUGUGUGUGUGUUUUCUGGACACUUUGUUGUAACAUCUUCGUGUUAUAUUCUCACUAACUUUGAGUAUUUGGGAGAUUAAAACAGCACAAAGGUCUGGUAAUCCACAUGUUUUUUAUCACAUUGACUUCAGCUGUUGAUGUUUUCUGAUCUGUUAGAAAGAGACUCUGACAGACAGCAGAGUUCACACAGCCACAUAUUCCUUCUUUAACGGUCAGCUGCAGGCUCAGACUCCCAAAACUCAGCUCACCUUUUAAUUUGAGCUGAAAUAAUGAGUCGAUUUACAGAAAAACUAAUGUCCAACUAUUUUGAUAAUCGAUUUUCAUGUAAAAACAUCUGCUGGCUGUCACAUGUGAAGAUUUGCUGCUUUUCUUUUAAAUGUAUGUAAUAAUUAUAAAUGUUUGUUAAUAAUUAUUUAGGUUUGGACACAACAGGCAUAUCAGCAAGCAUUAUGUUCUGUAUUAUGUGUUUUAAAACCAGGAAGCUGAAAGUCCAGUCUGACUCUUUAUUUACAUUCUAACAGACUUUAAAUCAGGUAACCAAAAGUCAAUAAACCUGAUAAAAACUGGAUCAUCAACUUUCUUUAACUGUAACUUUGUAGCUGAGAACUGAAAGUGAACUCUGAAGGCUCUAAAUGUCUGGACCUGUUUGUAAUGAGAUAAUAACAUGGAGGGACUUUUAGAGGUCAGAGUUUGCUAUGAAGCAGCUCUGAGCUCAUUUUGUCUUCACCUUAGUCCUUAGUCAGGAUGUGAGAUCAGUUCUUCCUCGUUACUGUUGGCUGGUAGAAACUGACUGCUGCUCUUUUAUUCAGGGUUUAAUGUUCUCCAGUGCUGUGCCGGCGUUUUACAUUUGACAAUAUGUAAUUAUAAUAAUAAAUGUAAUAUAAUAAUAUAAUAAUAAACAGUGAUAAAAGAGUGUGCAUUGCAAAGUUUUUAGGCAAAAUGAACUUAACAAAAAGAGAAUUAUAAAUAGCAUAAAGAAAAGUAAAAAAUAUUAAUUAAAUUACAUAUAAAAUAGAAAUAUUAAGGUCAAUCAAAAAGAUGGAUUUUAAGAUUUAUUUAAAAAAGACUUGAUGUUUGAGACGUCCUGAGAUCAGAGGGUCUACUGGGAAAAUAUGAUACAAGCAGGUCGGACGUCUUCAGCUACUUCUCAGGUGUAUUUUCUGACAUGUCAGAGGUCACACGCCUCUGGAGCAACUAGAGGUUAAGUGUCCUGCUCAGGGACACAUUGGUGGAUGUGUCACAGUGGGGGAUUGAACAUUAAAGGCAUGUGUCUUAUCCACUGCUCCACCACCACCCAGUACAGCAGCUGUUAACAUGGAGGCUUUUCUUCCUCUGAUGAUCAGUCAGAGCUCAGUCUCUACACAGCAGCUGCAUGUGAACUCCUCCGUCACUGUAAACUGUGGUAAAUAUUUUAGUUUGUGUUCUUGAUUUUUUCCUCACAUACGCAGUGAACAGACACCACAGGGAGGACGAUCCUGUAAGAUACAGUUAGACUUUUAACUGGAAAGAAACUCUCCCAUCCUGUUCCUGUUAAUGUGCAGUCAUAGUCUGGAGCUUUUCUUCUUUGUCUUUAGAGACAUUUUCUUCAGACUUUUAUACAAAUACUGCACCUCAUGAAAUGAGCCAUUAAACUACAUUUUCAAAACUAGAAAGACCUCUCUAUGUCUCCUCAAGUAAAGUCAUCACCUCAGCUGAGAACGAUAAAGAAAUAAACCCUAUCACUGGUGCUUUUCACUCUGCUGGCUUUGACUCUGUUUUGCUGUUGCUCUCAUCUCUGUUGUCUCAUGUUCACCAUGUCAGAGCUGGUACUGGGGCCGCCGAGCUCCAUUUGACAAACCUAUUCAAAUAAAAGCAUUAAAGUACUUUAAGUACCCAAA